UUUGGGGCAGCAAUGGUGGCACAAAGUAGCAGAGCAAAGGAAGCAAAGGAAGGAUCUAGACUGAACAAAAAGCAAAUGGGGAUCUCAAAAAUAAAUCAUUAAAGUAUAUGGGUCCCUUUGAGUAAAAGUUGAAGCAUGCAAAUGGUUCUGCCUCAAAGUAGCAUUUCACUUAGAUGCCUUUGUGAAGAAGAGAAACAGGCUCCAAGCUGUGGGUAGAAAGAAGCGACGGACCUAUGAAAACGACCAAAGAUGAGAUGGGUUUUAUGUUUAUGCAUUGGUGCUGUUUGGUUCAAGGUUUCCUACAACUUGUCUAUGCAAAUAAAAGUGGCAAACUAAGACACCCAUGUUUGGUUCACCGUUUUUCUUAAGUUCCCUAUCUAAUAGAUUUGCAUAGCAUUAUUCAUCUGGUCAUAGAAAGCAGGCUAUGGUUUUUUCUGGUUACCCAGCUAAAUGGAAAAAGUGGAAUCGAAAUAAUACCAUAAUACCCUCAUGUAAAGCGUGAAGAAGGAGGCGAAGAAAGAUAGAGAUAGCAGCGCCCGUGAGUGUAAGUCUCCAUAAGCUUAUCUUCCUUGUGUGGGUUGAAGAGGAAAUCUGGAAACGGCGACCGGAAGAUGUGAUUCUCCAUGUUCGAAAUUAACAAACUCGUCCUUUGUGUGGUUUAGAGUACCCAAAGAUCAAAAUUAGAGGAAGGUCUAUGCAAUGUGAAGCUUGUGGAGAAAAUGCAACGUUUACCCAGCAGCAAUUCCGAGAAUUCCAGAUUCCCUUGUGUGUGGUAUCAUUUCUUUUACUCUUGCCUUGAGCUUUCACCUCCCUUGAAUUUGGAUUAGAUGGUAUCAAAUUUAAUUGUGCAUAUUUUCACUUGCACUUUGUAUUGGAUGAGAUUGUUCAAGAUAAAAUUCUUAUUAAAAGAAUGCAAAAUUGUCUCCAGUAUAUUAUUUUGAGUUUCUAUUUCUGUAUACCAUUUUCAAGUGGUGAUCAAAUACCAGUUGAUAGAACAGCAUGAUAAUUACAUUGUAAUGACUAGUCACCGUCCGUUCUAACACUAACCCUAAAUAUUAUAAAGAAAGAAGAUAUAUUCUACAAACCCACAUCGUUAUGCUUUGUUUGCACGUUGUCUGAGCUACUGGUUCCCCUUUCCAAGCAUGGGUUCCUUCCAUUUGUUCCUUCUACUUUUGUUUUCCUUCUCUGUUCUUUGCCCUGCCUCUCCCAUCAUCCAAGCUGCUAUCCAUCAAGGUCCCAAAGCUUACUGUAACUGCACAAGUAACACCACUUUUGCUGCCCUUAGCUAUUACCGUUCCAACAUCAAAACACUACUAGAUUGGCUCUCCUCCAAUGCCACUAGCAAUGCCAGAUCCUACAACGCCACAGUAGCUAGCAAAAACACUCUUGACACUGUCCAUGGUCUCUUCCUUUGUACAGAAGACAUCAACCCAAAAAACUGCCAAGAGUGCGUGAUAGAAGCAGCCAAACUCAUAUUAUCACUCUGCACGACGGCGAAAGAAGCCAUAAUUUGGUACCAAGUGUGCUUUGUCCGCUACUCUGAUCGUCUUUUCUUCUCCGCAGUGGUAAUUUUUGAAGUGUUUGUGUAUAUAGCCAUACUGUUUAUGGUAAUUUUUGAAGUGGUCUAGUCUAGAUACCUGAUAGUGUAAAUACCAUGGUGUUAGUCCUAAACAAGUUGAAAAUGUGGAGACAAAUGGCAAACCUGACAAUGGCUUUUGUUUAUUUUUUGGAUGUGCAUCCAUUGUCAUGUAUGCCAUAUGGCUACCCAUUACUGUUUUAUUGUCUUCAUGUUAAAAGGAUUAGGAUAUGCACUAUUAACAUUGUCAUUGCUUGUGUUGUACCAACAAUGAUAUGUAUGGUAAGUUUUUGGAAGUCUGGCUAAGUGGAUAUACAUAGAAGCUUUGGAGUCAUGAGGACAGGCACUGCAGUAUUGUAAUUAUGGAGUGGGAUCAUGCUUAUAGACUGAUAUUGUAUGGUAAGUGGGUACCAACAAGAGGUGCCAACAGUCUUAUAUGACAACAGCCAUGUUCAAAGUGCAGCUGAUAAAGUGAUUACUUGACAGGCAUGCUGUCAAGUUUGCCAAGGUUGUUUAUUUUUAUGGUGAGAAAGCAUGUUUUGGGGUUGAUCUGAAGCAAAGGAAGAGGAAACCAUGGAUUGAAAGAAACAACUUGCAUUGUUAUCUGAUACAGAUACACAGGAUCCGAAACAUAACCAUGCAUCAGGGCCAUUUGGCAUAUAUGUGUAUCUGCUAUAUUGAAUUAAUGUUGCAUCCAUUCAUUGGUCAUGUGAAUGUAAUUUUACAUCUAUUUUAUGUAUUUGUUAUCUGUAAAACU